rnacentral:rRNA from 1 species
AACGCGAAGAACCUUACCUGGGCUCGAAAUGUAGAGGACGGAUUCAGAAAUGAAUCUUCUCGAAAGGGUCUUUACAUAGGUGCUGCAUGGCUAUCGUCAGCUCGUGCCGUGAGGUGUUUGGUUAAGUCCAGCAACGAGCGCAACCCUUAUCAUUAGUUGCCAGCGCGUAAUGGCGGGAACUCUAAUGAGACUGCCUGGGUUAACCAGGAGGAAGGUGAGGAUGACGUUAAGUCCGCAUGGCCUUUAUGUCCAGGGCUACACACGUGCUACAAUGGUCGGUACAGAAGGCGGCAAGACCGUAAGGUGGAGCAAAUCCUAAAAAACCGAUCUCAGUUCGGAUUGUAGACUGCAACUCGUCUACAUGAAGUUGGAAUUGCUAGUAAUGGCGUGUCAGCAACAACGCCGUGAAUACGUUCCCGGGCCUUGUACACACCGAGUAUA